rnacentral:snRNA from 1 species
GGAUGUGAGAUGAUCUGGCCAGGUGACAUUGUCACCCAGUUACAGAGUUGAUUCAGCCGAUCGGCCUGGCUAGGUGGGUGCCCCCUUCCUCCAUCAAGGGCCUAGCUAGGCGGGUGCCCCCUCCUCCCUCAAGGCUCCAUCCUUCUUGCAGCUGCACAUUCGGCCAAACAGGACGGCUCUUCCCCAAUACAGAAGGGCUGUUCUCUGAUCAAGGGUUGAGGAGUAGCUAUGUUUCCUUGCUUGAAUACCCACACAAGUUCUCAAAUGUUACCAUUCCUGGCUGUAGCUGUCGAGCACAGACAUCGCCUUUGUGUUCCCCGGGAAGGUAGAAAGCUCAA